rnacentral:rRNA from 1 species
GACGAACGCUGGCGGCGUGCUUAACACAUGCAAGUCGAACGAAGAGCGAUGGAAGCUUGCUUCUAUCAAUCUUAGUGGCGAACGGGUGAGUAACGCGUAAUCAACCUGCCCUUCAGAGGGGGACAACAGUUGGAAACGACUGCUAAUACCGCAUACGAUCCAAUCUCGGCAUCGGGACUGGAUGAAAGGUGGCCUCUAUUUAUAAGCUAUCACUGAAGGAGGGGAUUGCGUCUGAUUAGCUAGUUGGAGGGGUAACGGCCCACCAAGGCGAUGAUCAGUAGCCGGUCUGAGAGGAUGAACGGCCACAUUGGGACUGAGACACGGCCCAGACUCCUACGGGAGGCAGCAGUGGGGAAUCUUCCGCAAUGGACGAAAGUCUGACGGAGCAACGCCGCGUGAGUGAUGACGGCCUUCGGGUUGUAAAGCUCUGUUAAUCGGGACGGAUGGUUCUUGUGCGAAUAGUGCGAGGAUUUGACGGUACCGGAAUAGAAAGCCACGGCUAACUACGUG